GGACCGGCGGCAUGGCGGGGCGCGGCGGUGCGGGCGGUGCGGGCGCACGGCGGAGCGCGCUCCCUCCCGCAGCCGGACGGACACAGACAGAGAGGCGGGCGGCUGCCGCCGCGAGAGGAGGAGGAGGAGGAGGAGGAGGAGGAGGAGGAGGAGGAAGAGGAGGAGGAUCGCGCUCCGGGGGAAGCACCCCCCGCCCGCCCCCUUCCCCGGGAGCGGGCAGGAGAGAGCGCUCCGCGCGCCUUUGAUGAGGAGGCGCGGGCAUCCUCCCCCCGCCCGGCUCCAUACAAAGGCCGCUUUCCAGGAACUUUCCAGGAACCGCAUCAUGUGACAGGACCCGCUCCGAGCCGCACCGCUCCCGGGCCGCGCCGCUCCGCCGCAUCACCGCGCAACCCCCCUCCCCGCACGGGCCGCCGCUUCGCACCGCCCCGCGCGGAUCGCGCCGGAGACGCGAGGAAGCCUCCGCCGCAGGUCAGUGCCCGCCGGGGAGGGGGGGGGGGGUCGGGCAGCGGGAGCUCCGCGGCCGCGGCACCUGAGAGCGAGUGGGGGGGCGCGGCCUCGGGGCAGGGAGCGCCCGGAGGGGGGCGGGGGUGCGGGGGGGCGGUGCGGGCGCGGUGCCGCGGAGCUGCAGCGCGGUGCGGGGUGCGGGGGGGUCUGACGGGGAAACAAAGGGGAGCAAAGCGACGGUGGCCUCGGCUGUGCCGGGCUCGUCCCUGGCGAAGGGCGGGGAUCGCCCUCAACUUAACUGCGGUGUUGGGAAGGAGAUAUUUUUCGGGUCUGAAAGCGGAAGGAAUCGGGUUUGCGUUUGGCCGUUCGGUUUGCUCUAGGCCGGUAUCAAUCGCGGCAAAAUCAGCUCUACAAAUCGUGUGUGUGUGUGUGUGUGGUGGUGUGGUGGGGGGGGGGGCUGGGGGGUGCGGAGGACCCCUCGUCGGCGGAACGCGGCGCAGAAGGCCGCGGCCGGAACGGCCCCGACGGUGCGCGGGGGCUCCGCUGUGCCCCAACCGGGGACCGCGCCGUCCCUGCGUCGGGAACGGAGCUCCGGCAACGCCGGGGUCGGGGGGAGCCGCUCCGAGCCGUUCAGGAGUUUUAAACGCGCUUCUGCGGGGUGUGAGCGAGGAGCGUUAG
rnacentral:lncRNA from 1 species